AGCGCUCGCUCUGGAAAGACAGCAGAUAGUAGAAAGGCAGUUUGCCAGUUAACUUACAGCAGCGCGUCCCCUGAACGAUAACGAAGAGGUUGGGGAGAAGCCUGACUAUGGAGACGGGAGAAGGUGAUGAAGCGUACAUCAUGAACUGUAACCGAAAAAUACAACUGGCAUUUGGAAAGUGUGAGUACAGGAGUCACAGGCCACAUCUCCAGGUCCAGCAUAAUAGUGAACAGGAAGAGCAGCUUGGAGUCCUGUCUUCUUCAGAUUCUCCACCAAUUCAGCCAGCAGAGGGUUUCUGUUCAGAACAGCCUUGGGAUGAAUGUCUGUCUGCACUGGGGGCAGCUGAUCAUCCUGAUCAAAGCCGUCCUUAAUACAGCCCAUACAGUAUCUGUGUCCACAGGGAAUACCCAAAGGAUCCUUCAGUAGAUCCAGACAGAUGGGACCACUGAUGGAAUACUUGGAUUUUGCCGUGUUGGAUCUGACACUACCAGACUGAGCAUAAAGAGAUACUUUCUGUUUCUCUAGGAGUGUCUGUGCUUAUGUUAAGGGAUUUUAAAAAAUCUAUAAUGACUAAUUAUGUAUACAUUUCAAUCAUGAUGAAUUAAAAGACUUAUGUUACUGUACAUGUAUGGAUUUUCUCUGUUGAUCUCAGUAUUGAAUAUAAUGUAGUCAGGAGUUUAGUACAAUGACGGUCUGUUCCUUUGUACAAAUGAAUGAACUAUCUCCAGACUGUCUAGAAUGCUAAUCUACACUGACUGACCUUGGCUCUAGGCGAGGAGGGAAGGCUUGAGAUCUAUAGAGCCUUUCUACCAGUGUCAAGAAGAAACGGAACAUUUAGAAAACGCUGACGUCAUUUUCAGUUUAUAACCUGUGGCAAAUUAAAGGCUGUUACCUGACUUUUAAGACCGGGGCUCUGUCCAUUCUUAUAAAAAUAUCAAUAUGCAUUGACAGAGUGUUUAGUUUUGAUUGGGAAUUAAAACAGAGGAAUUUAGAAUUCCUUUAACAGCUUAAAAGUGGGAAUAUUUCCUGGUUAAGUAAGUGUACUCGUACCUUUACACGGUGUGGUGUUGGACAGAGGCAAGGAAGAGACCGCUGUGAUUGUGAUUGGUCAACCAGAGGUGGCUGUGAAUGGGGAAGACAGGAGUAUUUGGACUGGAGUUCUGCCUCCAUUCUUCAGAAUCAGAAAACUGUAAGUAUGCAAAUUAACCAGACUUGAUCUUUACACAUUUGUAUCAUGACAGAAUGCAUUCAAAACAAUCACAUUGGUCUGGGAACAGGAGCCGUGGUUUCUUGCUAAAAAAUUCAAAC
rnacentral:lncRNA from 1 species